CCUACGGGAGGCAGCAGUGAGGAAUAUUGGUCAAUGGACGAGAGUCUGAACCAGCCAAGUAGCGUGAAGGAUGACUGCCCUAUGGGUUGUAAACUUCUUUUAUAUGGGAAUAAAACGUUCCACGUGUGGGAUUUUGUAUGUACCAUAUGAAUAAGGAUCGGCUAACUCCGUGCCAGCAGCCGCGGUAAUACGGAGGAUCCGAGCGUUAUCCGGAUUUAUUGGGUUUAAAGGGAGCGUAGGUGGAUUGUUAAGUCAGUUGUGAAAGUUUGCGGCGCAACCGUAAAAUUGCAGUUGAAACUGGCAGUCUUGAGUACAGUAGAGGUGGGCGGAAUUCGUGGGGUAGCGGUGAAAUGCUUAGAUAUCACGAAGAACUCCGAUUGCGAAGGCAGUUCACUGGACUGCAACUGACACUGAGGCUCGAAAGUGUGGGUAUCAAACAGGAUUAGAUACCCCAGUAGUC
rnacentral:rRNA from 1 species